rnacentral:rRNA from 1 species
UGACACAUACAGCGAGUAUCUCCAGCCCCGCGAGUGGGCNGANAAUCAGCAAUAUGUGUCGUGAUGGGGAUAGAUCUUUGGAAUUAUUGAUCUUGAACGAGGANUGCCUAGUAAGCGCAAGCAAUCAGCUUGCGUUGAUUACGU